rnacentral:rRNA from 1 species
UACGGGAAGAGCCUCCAUAGAACGUGGUUAAACGCGUCUGAAGUUCAAAUAUCCACGGGGUUCUACAGAGACGGGAGGUACGGAGUGUGGAGGUGUGACUGUCUAAACUUUCAAUAUUCUCCACUACGUCUUUCCAACAACAGAAUACUACCUUUCGUUAACCAACAAUCUCUCAUACCGCCACGAAACCGGAUGGUGUUAGAUCUAUUCCAUCUUCUAUACUGAUAACGUGUACAUAGCGUGUAUAGUGACUCUCUGUAACUUUUCAAAUUUAGGGAUUGUUUUCACAGACAGCCUUCUACGCUGCCAAACAAGGGACUUCUCGACCUACCGUCAUAACAGAAGGUAAGUCAAUUCUCAGAGUCUAAUUUACAUAGAGUAGAAUGGUCGUCGUUUAGUAGUAGCAGUUUUCACGAUUUGACAAAGGGUCGAUAAAGACACAACCACUAUUGAUCGAUACUCUUUACACAUUACGUCAACGGCAACGGUAGUAGGUCGAGUGACGUCCUUGAUUGGAAGACCCUGACAUUCUCCGACCAAGAACACGGACACCUCCUCUUACCUCCUCCUUAAGUUUCAAAAUCUAUCGCGCGAUAUCGCCGCGAUGUGCGUAGGACUGACACCACGCGAUGCGCUUCGAGCUAAAGUGCAUGCUUCUCAAUCGCACGAUUAUCGCGCGAUCUACAGUAAAUCGCGACUUUUAACCCGGAGAUCGCAAUCGCAGGGCGCAGAAACUAGAUUUUAAAAGCCGGGUUUUACUUUAGCGAUGCGCCCGGUUUCGGGUUCGGAUGGUUAUCAGCUUAUGAUACGGGGGUUGGGAGGAGAGCUCGCUUUGGGAUAGGGGUGAGGGCAGGAGUAGAGUUUGUCCUUGGUACCGCCGCCGGCUGGUUGCUGGUUGGUACCGCUGCCGGAGCUCGACGAUGAGGCCGCUGACUGGAAGGAGCGGUGAGGGAGGGUCGCUGCCCCAUAAGGUGAUAAGGAAGGUGGUCCGCUGCGUCGAGGGCCUGCAAAGGAGAGCCGACGAGGGAGGACCGGUGAAGGAGACGACUGCCGCUGCUGGCGUAGGUGUUCCGCUGCCUCGUGGGGCGCCGCUGCCACAGGUGGUCCGCUGGUACUCGGUCGUUUAGGGCAGUCGUCCACAACCACCGAGUUCGUGACGGAGUCAUCGUCGUGGACGUGAGGGAGUUCAACUAAGCCUACUGGGACGCACCUUCAUAACGGGAGAAGGUCUACACUUGUUCUUCGUAACCGUCGCUACGUUGAAAACACCGUUCUAUACGUGUCGACCGUAAUGUUCCUAUUUCAAAGUGGAAAGUGUUUAUUGCUUAACACCACAGAAUGGUACGUUCUUCCAAGGAUCACUACAGUCCGACCUCUACUAUCGAAACGAGGAUUUCUCACGACUCGACUUCCUUUUUUUCUAGCUCCCUAACCUCCGCGAGUCUAGAUCACAACUGAAUCUAGUGAGGCUACCUCUUGUUCCUUGACUACUUCUUCUACCGUUAGUCCAACACUAAAACUCCGGUUUUGGUCCGUGUUCGUCGAGUUACCCACCGGGAUACCUGUUUAAGACGUUCGGAUCAUAUCUUCUUUGACAGUUCUCCUUCGUUUUUUCUUUAACACUUAUGCUUUUCCAAGUCAGCUUCAACAGUUGAGUCCUUUCUGUUGUCUCCUCCCUAUCUCGAACACCUAUAUAUACAGUUAAAAAGAUACUUCGAUCGUAGGGUGUAUUGUGACAGUGUGAAGGAUCGAAACGUACAUACGAAGUCCGGUAACCUCUACAACCGUGUUUGAAGCUACCCGGAUGACGUAUACUCUACUCACCUGGUAAGAACGUCUUUUCCUUCUUCUUCCACAAUCUAAGUAAGUUUGGUGUAUUCGUUCGUACCCUCGUGUGUCCAACAUGGCAUUACUGUCUACGUACCUGUCUAUUUUUCCCGUCCCCCCAUUACUUGGAUCAACACGUAUCAAGAGUUCCUCAGUAUAAGAACUUAAGUCAACUAACAAGUAGACAGGUUUUUUACCGUUUAUGUAGAAACUGGAGCAACUAUUAACGUAACUUCUAUAUCCCCGUCUGUUUCAGCAAGUUCACCACUGGCUGUUACGAUCACAGUUAUAUCGUCGUCGUUCAGAUUACUUUCGUUUCGCUGGAAGGUAAAAACCUUACCUACACGUCGGGUAACAUAACUAGAGUACAACCUCCUGUAUCCCUUCGAACCUAGCCAACUGUUUUAUUAAUGGGUUCGUUCUGUUCAUUGCCACAAGAACAUACGAGUGUGUUCCCACAAUAGAGACUACUCCUUUUGUGAACCCUUUCUGAACCAUACCAGUCCAUAAUGAUCCAAACGGUGCCGAAUAGAGUUAGAAUUUUCGAACGUUCUGUUGUUCUUCCUUUACGAAUUUGAUAAGUCUAACCUACUCGAUGUACUUUACCCAAUGAAUCUCUUCCUGUUCCCCUUCUACCGAGUGUUUUGCCACGUUAGCCUUCGGAAGACCUUUCCACAACCACAACGACAGUUGAUGAAACUCGGUUACCGAUUACACGAUUCUUCUUACCUAUCACUACACGGGCGUUACCCUAAGAAUAUACCAACAUACAACCUACGUUUUUUCCUUUAACGACGUUCAAAACUAUUACCGCUCUCAGCGAAGUUUACACAAUAACUAUAGUAACUGUUCUCUACCCUGUCGUUUGAGUUCAGCGGUAAUGUAAACCGACCCAUGAAAGACUUGGGGAUGAUAAUAAUAGGUUUGUUCCAACACUAUCUCUCCCUACCUAGUAAAUCUCGUCGGCACCAGGUAACGUAGUGUUCCUACUAACUUCGAGUUUUUUGAGUUCUACUCGAAUAACUACUUGAGCUGUUUAUGCUCCGCCUCCUUCUAAGGAAACCUUACCUGUAACAACAUGCUGUCUCUUUUUCCUUUUUGAAAAGAGGUCGUUUUACCACCGACUUAAUACCGUGUACACGUGGGGACAACUUCCUGAACCGUUACUUCUAAAACUCAAACUGUACAUCGAGGAGUCGAACACUCUCUUUAACCAGUCGUAAACUUGUUCAAGUAUGUUUCUUUGCGUCGUCCGAUGAGGUACUAUCCUACUCACUAGAACAUAAAUAGUUCAAGUUGAGAUCCUACUUCGUAUUCUCUCUCUUGUUCUCAUCUCUGGGUUAUCUCUUCUGCUAGCAACUACAAGAACUCCUGCUCCUAUUACUCAAGUAGUGGCCGUAACAACCUUUACUAUUACAACAACUUGUACAACCACUACUUCUAGUUUGAGUUGUUCUCUCUCGAAGUUGUAGUGUUCUUGUUCCCUUUUUCUUCUUCUCCGGAUGACGCGGGGGAUCUUUCUUCUCCUUUUUCUCGAACGUUAGAGAGGAAUUAUCACAGCUACUCCUUCGAUAUGAAAGACGGAGAAGGUUAAGAAGAAGCAGCCUUAGUCUUCUACUCAGAGGGAGCCGGGAACGACUGAGCCUAAUUAACGUACCAACCCACAUGGUGAAAACAACAAAGUUUCACACGACCACCAUACAACAAUACAACGAUACAGUUCAAUCAACCGACUUGAAUAUUUGGCCUGGUAGAGUACAACAAAUACAUGGUGAAAACAAUAAGUUUCACACGACCACCAUACAACGAUCAACGAUCCGGUUUGAAACGAGACAAUACAUUACUUAACUUGGUAGAGGACUAUAUACAGGAAUAAUACAUACCAUCCUUGAUGUAUUAUGAUACAAUACACCGACAAACGUACUCAUACCAUCCUUGAUGUAUUAUGUCAUAGUAAAAAGAUAAUUGAACCGACAUACCAUCAACUAUAUACAGGUAAAAGUUCAUAUAUAUACAGUUCAACUACUGACUAAGAUACAAAUAAAAAAGUGAAAAAUAACUAAAUAUGACUUUGCGAUUUACCCCGAAUCGUGCGAUAUCGACGCGAUAUCGCAAAGUAUCGAGAACCAGUCCGGCUGCGAUUCUCCGAAUCGCGCGAUAGAUUUUGAAACCUCCUUAAGUCCUCCUGUUCAGUAACGAGGACUUUAAUUGUUAUAAGCCUACACCGCUUAACAAGAGAGCCACCGGGUACCCUUACCCUCUUAGUCUCUGGUAAACGGGAAAGGGACGAAGGGAUUCCCUUGAACUACAAAUGGUUCUCGGUUCGUAUUUCAGUUACCCAGACGAGAGUUUGGAGUGUAGAGAGUGGUGAGAUUCCGAUUUCCUCACGUCAUUAGAUUGUCACCUGCCUAAGUUAGGAGAGUAGCGUCAGUUGGAGUAUCUCGACGUUCACGUAUCCACGUUGUGGAGAUCUAAUCGUCGUCUAUACGAGAGUCUCCACCGGAGAGUCUCCCGGUUUAAUAACGGACGUCCAAUGUAGAGAUCUAACCUCUUUGAGUAAUACUUACUGUACACACCUAACGAACAACGAGGAUAAACGUUGGAGGAGCGGGGCCGGGAGGUGUGUGAACUUAAGACGAUACUACUCUCGUGCCUUUCGAAGUGCCUUCUCGUUCUCUUUCGCGAUGUCGAGGAGUGGAGGGAGGUCUUAGAUUCAAAAAGUCCGACGACGCUAGACGUUAGGGAAGGAGUUCCCAAUGUAGCGGAAAGAACAGAGUUCCUCAAUGCACAGAAACCCACAGCUCUUUAGGACAGCUACGGGUUCCUCCCAGAGGGCCAAAGAGACUCUUUUGAUCUCUACUUAACACCGUCGCGACUCUAUCUACUCGAUUAAUUUUUUUAGUUGUCUUGGUCGGUCUAAAUAGGCAGAGAACUUCCUAUUGUUGUGUCUUCUGAUCGUUAGAAAAGACGUGUGUUCAAUAGUUUGGACGUGUAAUUAGUCGUCCACGCUCUAUAAAACGUUGCGUUACGAUCGACAAUUGAGAAGUAAGACGAUGUACUAGCUAUAAAGAGACGUUCAGUUUAGACGGCCGUUGCCGAACACAAGGUGAGUGAACCAUGGGUAGUUCUUCUUCUGAACUGAACACGAGAAAAAAGCGUACCUUAAAUUGACAACCGUAGUCAAGUUCCUUCUCCAACUACGACGGACGACGAAACAUUUAAUUUUUCGUCGAGAGACUACAUGAGGCUUCUCAGGACCACCACGUCUUACGUUGGAUACGACCCCGUCUCAUGACUUUGAUAACUUGGGUCGAUGCAUGUAUGUCAGAACGUCCCUCUAACGUACGUAUGUCCAAAUCCAAACUAACCGACCGUAACUAGGAACUGAGAUAGAUUCAGGGUCAUCGUUUAAAGUGUCGACUAAGCCUCGUUUGUUUGUUUGUUUGUUUGUCUUCACUUCGUUAACAGACAGAACUAUACGACUUUCUAGUUUAUAACUGCAUUCACUACCGAGCGUCACCCUACAGCAAGGAAGUAAAUUUCUUCACCCGAAAUUAAACACCUACGUCGCCGUCGAUUGUCUCGUCUCGUCUCGUAAGGUUCUAGGUUUGCCACGGUUCCACGCUCCACCAAUAACCCUAAGUCGUGGUCGCAGCGUGCUGAACUCGUAAAAAACAAAGAGGAGACAUCUAAUUUAACCAUACCAUCUUAACAAAAAAAAAAUAAGGGUCACAAGGCUAGUACUAAAACAAGGUACUGGUGCCUGGUUGACUAGCUACUACGGUUACGAUCGGUCAUGUAAGUGCGAACGAAUUACACAUUCUAAACCGUCGAAGUGUAGACUUAGACUAUAACUUCCGUUUUCAACAUACCAAUUAAUUAAGGAGUCACCGUCGUUACACUCACUCACGAAAGUUGAAACCCCGGAACGAUGAAGAGGAACGAACGGUAGUCGACGACGUCGUCAUCUCCUAAACACACGAAAUUUCCUAGAGGCCCUUAUUUAGUUACAUGUAAACUCUAAACAACAAAUGAUAGAAACAUACCAUUAGAUGUGUAG